GAUGAACGCUGGCGGCGUGCCUAAUACAUGCAAGUCGAGCGAACAGACGAGGAGCUUGCUCCUCUGACGUUAGCGGCGGACGGGUGAGUAACACGUGGAUAACCUACCUAUAAGACUGGGAUAACUUCGGGAAACCGGAGCUAAUACCGGAUAAUAUAUUGAACCGCAUGGUUCAAUAGUGAAAGACGGUUUUGCUGUCACUUCUAGCUGGAUCCGCGCCGCAUUAGCUAGUUGGUAAGGUAACGGCUUACCAAGGCAACGAUGCGUAGCCGACCUGAGAGGGGGAUCGGCCACACUGGAACUGAGACGCGGUCCAGACUCCUACGGGAGGCAGCAGUAGGGAAUCGUCCGCAAUGGGCGAAAGCCUGACGGAGCAACGCCGCGUGAGUGAUGAAGGUCUUCGGAUCGUAAAACUCUGUUAUGAGGGAAGAACAAAUGUGUAAGUAACUAUGCACGUCUUGACGGUACCUAAUCAGAAAGCCACGGCUAACUACGUG
rnacentral:rRNA from 1 species